GGAACAGUAGCUCAGAUGGUAGAGCAACAGAUUACUUUUCGCUUUUGGCAAAUAAAGUUCCUGUAAACUUCAAAGUUGUGUGUCGCAGGUUCGAGUCCUGCCUGUUCCUCAA
rnacentral:tRNA from 2 species